UACGUAGGGUGCAAGCGUUGUCCGGAAUUAUUGGGCGUAAAGAGCUCGUAGGCGGUUUGUCGCGUCUGCUGUGAAAACCCGAGGCUCAACCUCGGGCCUGCAGUGGGUACGGGCAGACUAGAGUGCGGUAGGGGAGAUUGGAAUUCCUGGUGUAGCGGUGGAAUGCGCAGAUAUCAGGAGGAACACCAUUGGCGAAGGCAGAUCUCUGGGCCGUAACUGACGCUGAGGAGCGAAAGCAUGGGGAGCGAACAGG
rnacentral:rRNA from 1 species